AACGAACGCUGGCGGCGUGGAUAAGACAUGCAAGUCGAACGGGACAGACCGAGCAGCAAUAUUUGGAAUGUUCAGUGGCGAACGGGUGCGUAACACGUGGAUAACAUUCCGGAAAGCGGGGAAUAGCCCAGGGAAACUUGGAUUAAUACCGCAUGUGGCCGCAAGGCUAAAGACGGGGACCGCAAGGCCUGUCACUUUCCGAUUGGUCCGCGGCCUAUCAGCUAGUUGGCGGGGCAAUGGCCCACCAAGGCUACGACGGGUAGCUGGGCUUAGAGGACGACCAGCCACACUGGAACUGAGACACGGUCCAGACACCUACGGGUGGCAGCAGUCGAGAAUCUUUCACAAUGGGGGCAACCCUGAUGGAGCGACGCCGCGUGGAGGAUAAGGUCUUCGGAUUGUAAACUCCUGUCAUGCGAGAACAAGGUACUCAGGCUAAUAACCUGAUUGUUUGAUGGUACCGCAAGAGGAAGAGACGGCUAACUCUGUGCCAGCCGCCGCAGUAAUAC
rnacentral:rRNA from 1 species